AUGCAGUUGAGUUUCUCAUCAUCCCAAAAUCUCAGUGAUGGAGGAGAUUCAUCGUACACGUCCUCUAUGGCUGAUUUGAUCCUGGGGAGCCAGAGAGAAGACAGAUGGUCUCCUUCAACACUGAUGUGGAGCAGAUGCCCAGAGCAGCAGCCAUGGUGGACACAAUGUGACCCGCCUUUUGAUCCGCAGAUGCUCUGCACUCCACGCGCCGCAGCACCAGCCUGUCACCAGCCUGUCACCAGUGCAGCCAUUUGAAUGAGGCCCACAGUAAAUUACCCGCUCACUGAGAUUAGAAGAAAACACUUUCUCCUAAUUUCAGGUGUCUUUGCUGUGUAGACACACCUCAGCACAGGUAUAACCGCAGCUACAAACGACUUCUGAGUCAUCAUUUAUGAGCUCUUUCCAGCUUUACACUAAAAAGAACAUGCAUUUCAUGGAUUGAGCACCAGUUACUGUUUUGAUUGCAGCCAUCAGCUCGUUUUUUUCUUCAGGAAACAAUUGAUAAAAUUUACAGAUGAAAACUGUAUUUUUUUUAAUUCUUGGGACACAUUUAUCAGCCAACUCAAUGUAUAACUUAGUUAAUUGUGAGUUCCUUGCCAUAUUUUGAAUGCAACAUCAGCUGCUCAGGCUGCUUCAGCACCAUCCAUCUAUUUUUAAUUUGAGAAGCAAACGUGUUCAGACAGUGAAGGAUGCAGCAACCUCCCAACAGAGAAGAAAUACACAACCUGCCUGCAAGAGAACAUGAGCAGCAGGCUUUGACAUUUUGGUGGAUGACGUGGUCAUCAUGGUAUUGACUGCCAUCCUCCAUCGUGCAGCCCAUAAAGCAGAGCUUUGGUGCACAGAAGCCUCAGCAUUUCUAUGGUGGCGCCAUCUGUCACUGCAAAUAAGCCUGAAGUCUCUGCUGGUGUCUGCUUGGUAAGAAAUAAAGCAGAUUCCCUUCAAAUACAGUCCAAAUGAUUUCCACAUUUUGGUUAUAACUCCUCUGACUACAAGAAUUUCAAAAAGAGGGAUUUAUACAGAAAUGGUGAUGUG
rnacentral:lncRNA from 1 species